rnacentral:rRNA from 1 species
UACGUAGGGUGCAAGCGUUAAUCGGAAUUACUGGGCGUAAAGCGUGCGCAGGCGGUUUUGUAAGACAGGUGUGAAAUCCCCGGGCUCAACCUGGGAAUGGCAAUGGAUACUGGCAGGCUAGAGUGUGUCAGAGGAUGGUGGAAUUCCCGGUGUAGCGGUGAAAUGCGUAGAGAUCGGGAGGAACAUCAGUGGCGAAGGCGGCCAUCUGGGACAACACUGACGCUGAGGCACGAAAGCUAGGGGAGCGAACGGG